CCUACGGGGGGCAGCAGUGAGGAAUAUUGGUCAAUGGGCGAGAGCCUGAACCAGCCAAGUCGCGUGAGGGAAGACGGUCCUAUGGAUUGUAAACCUCUUUUGUCGGGGAGCAAAAAGGCCUCGUGAGGCCACAAGUGAGAGUACCCGAAGAAAAAGCAUCGGCUAACUCCGUGCCAGCAGCCGCGGUAAUACGGAGGAUGCGAGCGUUAUCCGGAUUCAUUGGGUUUAAAGGGUGCGUAGGUUGUUUUAUAAGUUAGCGGUGAAAUACCGAUGCUCAACAUCGGGGCUGCCGCUGAUACUGUAGGACUAGAGAUCGGAUGCAGCAGGCGGAAUGUGUAGUGUAGCGGUGAAAUGCAUAGAUAUUACACAGAACACCGAUUGCGAAGGCAGCUUGCUAGGCCGGAUCUGACACUGAUGCACGAAAGCGUGGGGAUCGAACAGGAUUAGAUACCCCAGUAGUC
rnacentral:rRNA from 1 species